CAAGAUGAUCGCGGCGAGCUGCUCUGUAGUACUCCUGGUUCUGCUCGCCACUUGUGAGGCAAGAUUAUGCGCAAAAGGCAUUUACGGUGACAACACUGCGGCCGCUGUGCAUGGUGAAACUCGAUACUUUGCAGGCAACUCUAUUGUAUACGAAAUAACGCAAUCCUAUCCGUGUCAUCAUGUGGGCACGGAGGUGGUGGUGUGUGUUGACGACUCCAAGUAUCCUUCAGUACAUAUAAAGGACUUAAACCUUGCAAGUAUCGUUCGUCAUGGAAAUAUAAAGGGGUAUGCGGAAGUGAAACCAAUAACGUACUGCAGAAAGUAUAAAGGCGCUGGCCAAGCCGGAAAAGCUCUACCUGCUCCGCGAGUCACCGUAGUCAAGUCAGGCAACUAAAGAGUGAAAAUAAA